UACAGAGGGGGCAAGCGUUGUUCGGAAUUACUGGGCGUAAAGGCGCGUAGGCGGCCUGUUAAGUCGAACGUGAAAUCCCCGGGCUCAACCCGGGAACUGCGUCCGAUACUGGCAGGCUUGAAUCCGGGAGAGGAUGCGGAAUUCCAGGUGGUAGCGGUGAAAUGCGUAGAUAUCUGGAGGACACCGGUGGCGAAGGCGGCAUCCUGGACCGGUAUUGACGCUGAUGCGCGAAGCCAGGGAGGCAAACGGG
rnacentral:rRNA from 1 species